rnacentral:rRNA from 1 species
CGAAAACGAAUUCUCUCUUGAGUGGAUCCUGAGUACGACGGAGCACGUGAAAUUCCGUCGGAAUCUGGGAGGACCAUCUCCUAAGGCUAAAUACUCUCUAGUGACCGAUAGUGAACCAGUACCGUGAGGGAAAGGUGAAAAGUACCCCGGAAGGGGAGUGAAAGAGAACUUGAAACCGUGUGCUUACAAGUAGUCAGAGCCCGUUAAUGGGUGAUGGCGUGCCUUUUGUAGAAUGAACCGGCGAGUUACGAUCUGAUGCAAGGUUAAGCAGAAAAUGUGGAGCCGUAGCGAAAGCGAGUCUGAAUAGGGCGAAUGAGUAUUUGGUCGUAGACCCGAAACCAGGUGAUCUACCCUUGGUCAGGUUGAAGUUCAGGUAACACUGAAUGGAGGACCGAACCGACUUACGUUGAAAAGUGAGCGGAUGAACUGAGGGUAGCGGAGAAAUUCCAAUCGAACUUGGAGAUAGCUGGUUCUCUCCGAAAUAGCUUUAGGGCUAGCCUCAAGUGAUGAUUAUUGGAGGUAGAGCACUGUUUGGACGAGGGGCCCCUCUCGGGUUACCGAAUUCAGACAAACUCCGAAUGCCAAAUAAUUUAACUUGGGAGUCAGAAUGUGGGUGAUAAGGUCCAUAUUCGAAAGGGAAACAGCCCAGACCACCAGCUAAGGUCCCAAAAUAUAUGUUAAGUGGAAAAGGAUGUGGCGUUGCCCAGACAACUAGGAUGUUGGCUUAGAAGCAGCCAUCAUUUAAAGAGUGCGUAAUAGCUCACUAGUCGAGUGACACUGCGCCGAAAAUGUACCGGGGCUAAACAUAUUACCGAAGCUGUGGAUUGUCCUUUGGACAAUGGUAGGAGAGCGUUCUAAGGGCGUUGAAGCAUGAUCGCAAGGACAUGUGGAGCGCUUAGAAGUGAGAAUGCCGGUGUGAGUAGCGAAAGACGGGUGAGAAUCCCGUCCACCGAUUGACUAAGGUUUCCAGAGGAAGGCUCGUCCGCUCUGGGUUAGUCGGGUCCUAAGCUGAGGCCGACAGGCGUAGGCGAUGGAUAACAGGUUGAUAUUCCUGUACCACCAUUAUUCGUUUUAAGCGAUGGGGGGACGCAGUAGGAUAGGCGAAGCGUGCUGUUGGAGUGCACGUCCAAGCAGUGAGAUUGAGUGUUAGGCAAAUCCGGCACUCUUAAGAUUGAGCUGUGAUGGGGAGAGGAACUUGUUCCUCGAGUCGUUGAUUUCACACUGCCGAGAAAAGCCUCUAGCUAGAAUAACGGUGCCCGUACCGCAAACCGACACAGGUAGUCAAGAUGAGAAUUCUAAGGUGAGCGAGCGAACUCUCGUUAAGGAACUCGGCAAAAUGACCCCGUAACUUCGGGAGAAGGGGUGCUCUUUGAGGUUCACGCUUCGAAGAGCCGCAGUGAAUAGGCCCAAGCGACUGUUUAUCAAAAACACAGGUCUCUGCUAAACCGUAAGGUGACGUAUAGGGGCUGACGCCUGCCCGGUGCUGGAAGGUUAAGAGGAGUGGUUAGCGCAAGCGAAGCUACGAAUCGAAGCCCCAGUAAACGGCGGCCGUAACUAUAACGGUCCUAAGGUAGCGAAAUUCCUUGUCGGGUAAGUUCCGACCCGCACGAAAGGCGUAACGAUUUGGGCACUGUCUCAACGAGAGACUCGGUGAAAUCAUAGUACCGGUGAAGAUGCCGGUUACCCGCGACAGGACGGAAAGACCCCGUGGAGCUUUACUGUAGCCUGAUAUUGAAAUUCGGUACAGUUUGUACAGGAUAGGUAGGAGCCUUAGAAGCGUGAGCGCUAGCUUACGUGGAGGCAUUGGUGGGAUACUACCCUAAUUGUAUUGGAUUUCUAACCCGCAGCACUUAUCGUGCUGGGAGACAGUGUCAGGCGGGCAGUUUGACUGGGGCGGUCGCCUCCUAAAGAGUAACGGAGGCGCUCAAAGGUUCCCUCAGAAUGGUUGGAAAUCAUUCAUAGAGUGUAAAGGCAUAAGGGAGCUUGACUGCGAGACCUACAAGUCGAGCAGGGUCGAAAGACGGACUUAGUGAUCCGGUGGUUCCGCAUGGAAGGGCCAUCGCUCAACGGAUAAAAGCUACCCCGGGGAUAACAGGCUUAUCUCCCCCAAGAGUUCACAUCGACGGGGAGGUUUGGCACCUCGAUGUCGGCUCAUCGCAUCCUGGGGCUGUAGUCGGUCCCAAGGGUUGGGCUGUUCGCCCAUUAAAGCGGUACGCGAGCUGGGUUCAGAACGUCGUGAGACAGUUCGGUCCCUAUCCGUCGUGGGCGUAGGAAAUUUGAGAGGAGCUGUCCUUAGUACGAGAGGACCGGGAUGGACAUACCUCUGGUGUACCA